CCAGCACAAGACGUCAUUUAGACGUUGUUUUUUGGGCUAAAUCACGUCGGCCCGUCAUGACCUUCAUUUAGUCCAAAAAAAGACGUUGAAAACUGGUCUUUGUUUGGUCCGUCUAAUUCAGUCCAAAUUUAGCCUAAAAUUAGACGUCUUUUUCGGACCACUUUUCAACGUGUCUCCAUUCAAUAAUAAUCCAGACAAAAUAUGCAUGAAUGUAUACGCAGAAAAAAUAAAUACUGAGCACAUUGAACGAUAAUGAAAUGCUUUGUUUAAAGUCUAUUAAUAUUUCUGUUUAUUUUAAUUAAAUAAAUAUGUUAAAUGUGCUCUAAACAGGUCAUUUUGGUCCACUACAGCACUGAUAGAAGCACUUCAUUUUCAUCUUUUAACAAAUAUCUUUAUUUUCUUUUAAUAUGAUAUUAUUGGCAGAGGCGCGCGACCAUCUCAUGCUUUGUGGUCACGUGAUUAUUCAACCGGAGACGCGCGUUAGGGAUUUUCUCCUCAGACCAGUGUUUCUGUUUUGUGGUCGAUUCUGGGAUCCUUUUCUUGGUGUGUCUUGAUGUUUUCUAUUGGCUAAAGACAUGUCUCUGUGAAACUGACAAUCUCAGGUAGGAGCUGCUGGUUUGUGGUUGGCAGUAUGGAUCACAGUCUGCGACUCAUGAGGAGCUGGGCUGGAGACAUGAAGAGGUUGUUAACAGGCCAUCCAUCCAAGAUCAUCUAUCUGAGCUGCUGAAAACUGCCUCGGUACGGAUCUGUUGGAGCUUUGUGUCACUGACUGUAUUUCUGCAAAUUCCUGUUCCGUGUCAAAUGGCUUAUGCAAGACUGAAUCCAUAAAGGGGAUGGUCUGUGGAGACUGUGGGCGAUUCCUUCUGCUGUCAUUUAAACAUGAGCAGGAGUAAUGACGGGAUUUAAAUGGACAAAGCUAAUAUUAUGCCAGAGUCCGCUGCUUAUGUUGUAACCAUAAAGCAACCAGGACAACACACCUGGAGUGACCGAGAGCAGGAUGAAGAAAGAAUCGGACGAGAAAAUAUCAACUGGUGCCCAUGAGGAGACAUAUUGUUCUUGGACCUGCUUUUUCUGUUUAGUAAUAAGUGGUUUUAUGUGGUUACAUAAAAGUAAUUUAAUAUUCAAUCCACAAGCUAAAUUUCCUACAUUUUCUUAAAAGGGUAGUUGACCCAAAAAGGAAAAUUCUGUCAUUUACACAAACAGUUUGGUUACAAACAUUUCUCACAAUAUCUGCCUUCCUGUUUAUCAGAACAAAGAAAUGUAUGCGGGUUUGUAACAACAUGAGAGUGUGUAAAUGACAUAAUUUUCAUUUUUGGGUGAAGUACCCCUUUAACAUUUUUAUACACAGGGGUAGGGGUGUGCAGCGGAGUCAGUAUUUGUAUCUGUAACAGUCUCAAAAUUAUUUGUAUCUGUAUUUGUAUUCGGAUUAAACCGGAAGUGGGUGGGUUGACAACUCAUAUUACAUUAAAAUGGCAUUUUAAAUGCAUUUUUGCUUUUUAUUAUAAUUAUAACUUAAAUAACUGUAAAUAUUUAUUCAAAAUAAUAAUACAAAAUUUUAAUCAAAAAGACAAAUAACUUGAUUCUCGUUAGUAAUACUCAUGGAAAGCAAACAACUCAUUUU